GCCGGGUGCGGUGGCAUGUGCCUGUAAUCCAAGUCACUGGGAGGCUGAGGUUGGUGGAUCAAGUGAGCUGAGGAGCUCUGGGCUGCAGCACGCUAUGUCGAACGGGUGUCCACGCUAAGUUCGGUAUCGAUAUGGUGUUCCUGGGGAGCCCGGGACCACCAGGUUGUCUAAGGAGGGUGAACCGGCCCAGGUCGGAAACGAAGCAGGUCAAAUCCCCCGUGCUGUCCAGUAGUGGGAUAAUACCUGUGAGUAGAUGCUGCAGUGCAGCCUUGGCAAAACAUCGAGACCUAAUCUUUU
rnacentral:SRP_RNA from 1 species